rnacentral:rRNA from 1 species
CCCUUAGAUGUUCUGGGCCGCACGCGCGCUACACUGACUGACUCAACGAGUUUACAACCUGUGCCGAAAGGUAUGGGUAAUCUUUUGAAAUUCAGUCGUGAUGGGGCUAGAUUAUUGCAACUAUUAAUCUUCAACGAGGAAUGCCUAGUAAGCGCGAAUCAUCAGUUCGCGUUGAUUACGUCCCUGCCCUUUGUACACACCGCCCGUCGCUCCUACCGAUUGGAUGGUCCGGUGAAGCCUCGGGAUUGUGGUUCUUGCCGCUUUAUUGUGGCGUGACUGCGAGAACUUGUCUAAACCUUAUCAUCUAGAGGAAGGUGAAGUCGUAACA